UUGGCUUAGAAGCAGCCAUCAUUUAAAGAAAGCGUAAUAGCUCACUGGUCGAGUCGGCCUGCGCGGAAGAUGUAACGGGGCUAAACCAUGCACCGAAGCUGCGGCAGCGACACUGUGUGUUGUUGGGUAGGGGAGCGUUCUGUAAGCCUGUGAAGGUGUACUGUGAGGUAUGCUGGAGGUAUCAGAAGUGCGAAUGCUGACAUAAGUAACGAUAAAGCGGGUGAAAAGCCCGCUCGCCGGAAGACCAAGGGUUCCUGUCCAACGUUAAUCGGGGCAGGGU
rnacentral:rRNA from 1 species